rnacentral:rRNA from 1 species
UGGAAUGCAUGACGCGUUUAACGCAAUACAAUACAACUUUCAGCAACGGAUCUCUUGGCUCUCGCAUCGAUGAAGAACGCAGCGAAAUGCGAUAAGUAAUGUGAAUUGCAGAAUUCAGUGAAUCAUCGAAUCUUUGAACGCACCUUGCGCCCUUUGGCUAUUCCGAAGGGCAUGCCUGUUUGAGUAUCGUGAACACCUCAACUCUCAUGGUUUGCCGUGAUGAGCUUGGACUUUGGGGGUCUUGCUGGCCUUUGGUCGGCUCCUCUCAAACGGAUCAGCUUUCCAGUGUUUGGUGGCGUCAUGGGUGUGAUAACUAUCUACGCCUGUGGUUUU